CCCAGCCCGCCGCAGCAAAUGGCGGCAGGGCCCGGAGCUGCCGCGCUACGAACCGAGCUGGGGGGAGCGGGCGACCCCCGAUGAGGCUGGAAACUGUGGUGCCUGCUGUAAUAAGAACAGCUACUCGAAGAUAAUGUCUGGAAAAUAUGGACACUAGAAGACAAGCUGCUGUGCUGA
rnacentral:lncRNA from 1 species